rnacentral:rRNA from 1 species
GAGUUUGAUCCUGGCUCAGGAUGAACGCUGGCGGCGUGCCUAAUACAUGCAAGUCGAACGAAACUUCUUUAUCACCGAGUGCUUGCACUCACCGAUAAAGAGUUGAGUGGCGAACGGGUGAGUAACACGUGGGCAACCUGCCCAAAAGAGGGGGAUAACACUUGGAAACAGGUGCUAAUACCGCAUAACCAUAGUUACCGCAUGGUAACUAUGUAAAAGGUGGCUAUGCUACCGCUUUUGGAUGGGCCCGCGGCGCAUUAGCUAGUUGGUGGGGUAAAGGCUUACCAAGGCAAUGAUGCGUAGCCGAACUGAGAGGUUGAUCGACCACAUUGGGACUGAGACACGGCCCAAACUCCUACGGGAGGCAGCAGUAGGGAAUCUUCCACAAUGGGCGAAAGCCUGAUGGAGCAACGCCGCGUGGGUGAAGAAGGUCUUCGGAUCGUAAAACCCUGUUGUUAGAGAAGAAAGUGCGUGAGAGUAACUGUUCACGUUUCGACGGUAUCUAACCAGAAAGCCACGGCUAACUACGUGCCAGCAGCCGCGGUAAUACGUAGGUGGCAAGCGUUAUCCGGAUUUAUUGGGCGUAAAGGGAACGCAGGCGGUCUUUUAAGUCUGAUGUGAAAGCCUUCGGCUUAACCGGAGUAGUGCAUUGGAAACUG